rnacentral:rRNA from 1 species
GACGAACGCUGGCGGCGUGCCUAAUACAUGCAAGUAGAACGCACAGUUUAUACCGUAGCUUGCUACACCAUAGACUGUGAGUUGCGAACGGGUGAGUAACGCGUAGGUAACCUGCCUGGUAGCGGGGGAUAACUAUUGGAAACGAUAGCUAAUACCGCAUAAUAUUAAUUAUAGCAUGAUAAUUAAUUGAAAGGUGCAAUUGCACCACUACCAGAUGGACCUGCGUUGUAUUAGCUAGUAGGUGAGGUAACGGCUCACCUAGGCGACGAUACAUAGCCGACCUGAGAGGGUGAUCGGCCACACUGGGACUGAGACACGGCCCAGACUCCUACGGGAGGCAGCAGUAGGGAAUCUUCGGCAAUAGACGAAAGUCUGACCGAGCAACGCCGCGUGAGUGAAGAAGGUUUUCGGAUCGUAAAGCUCUGUUGUAAGAGAAGAACGGGUGUGAGAGUGGAAAGUUCACACUGUGACGGUAUCUUACCAGAAAGGGACGGCUAACUACGUG